GGCAGCGGUCAUCUUUCUCUGGAACUGCGUUGACAGCUGGCCAGUUUCUAUUUGAAAUAAACUGUAUCUAAACGACACAGGUUGCUGAUGGGCUGGAUAACACCAUAGCUCUGGCUGGCCAUGCUUUCACUGGAAGUUUUGCAUCUCCGAUCCCACAAACACUUAGAUCGUUUACCCUUUGUGAGCGGACUACUGUGUGAAAACACAUCCUUGAGAAGGCAUGUCAUGGGUGAAACUACAGUAUGGUAAUCUGCAGAAAGACUUCAGAGGAUACACAUGUGCAACAGCUUCUAUUGCUGUGGACUACUGUAUGAAUGGCAGACAAAGACAGUUCAUGAAGAAGGCUGUUGGUCAAAAUCAUUGGUCGCAGCAUUGGAUCAAGCAAAUUCCUGAGACUGGCAUGCCUGGUAACAAGUGGCUGGCAAACAUGGGAUAGUGUACCUGGUCCCGUCUAACAGUGGAAUAAUCCUGAUAUUCCGUUCCUAGACAGAGCAAGAAGCUGAACAUGUGGGUAUAGACUAAGAGAAAAAGAGAGAAAUUGCAGCUCCAGCAUUUGGAAAAGAAGCUGUCAGAAGAGGAAUGGAAUGUUAACAAGCCAGAUCCAGCCUUACAAGAAGAAAGAUGGAGCUAUAAUUUGAUGCAUUUAUUUAAGUCAUUCGUUUUGGGUGUUAACUGCAAUAAAGCCUGCUUAUCUUCUUGGAAAUGUGGGAUGCCGAUUGGAUGGUGUUUCCAUUCAACGUAUCUGUGUGCACUAACUUCAAACAAUGAUGCACUUGCAACUUUACUUUGGCAAUUAGAGUUUGUCCAAUAUGUGAUUUUGUAUGCCUCAUUACCUGUGUAAUAUCCCGCACUUGCACUAAUCAACACAUGGAUGCAUAUCAAACUAAAUCCCAAUAUAUCUCUCUAUAUAGAUAUAUACACCCCACCCCACCCAAAAAAAGAACUGACAGCCAUAGACAUGCAAUUUAAACUGAAGAAUACU